CGGGUGCACUGAUCCAGCCGGGCCUUUCCCUCUGUGGAACCCCAUGGCCUUCACUGGCUGUGGUGGGGAAACAGGACUUUUACUUUGAAAAAAUUAGAGUGCUCCAGGCAGGCCUAUGCUCGAAUACAUUAGCAUGGAAUAAUAGAAUAGGACGUGUGGUUCUAUUUUGUUGGUUUCUAGGACCGCCGUAAUGAUUAAUAGGGACAGUCGGGGGCAUCAGUAUUCAAUUGUCAGAGGUGAAAUUCUUGGAUCUAUUGAAGACUAACUACUGCGAAAGCAUUUGCCAAGGAUGUUUUCAUUGAUAAGGAACGAAAGUUAGGGGAUCGAAGACGAUCAGAUACCGUCGUAGUCUUAACUAUAAACUAUGCCGACUAGGGAUCGGACGAUGUUAUUCUUUGACGCGUUCGGCACCUUUCGAGAAAUCAAAGUGCUUGGGCUCCAGGGGGAGUAUGGUCGCAAGGCUGAAACUUAAAGAAAUUGACGGAAGGGCACCACCAGGGGUGGAACCUGCGGCUUAAUUUGACUCAACACGGGGAAACUCACCAGGCCCAGACACAGUGAGGAUUGACAGAUUGAGAGCUCUUUCUUGAUUCUGUGGGUGGUGGUGCAUGGCCGUUCUUAGUUGGUGGAGUGAUUUGUCUGCUUAAUUGCGAUAACGAACGAGACCUUAACCUGCUAAAUAGCCCGUACUGCUUUGGCAGUUCGCCGGCUUCUUAGAGGGACUAUCGG
rnacentral:rRNA from 1 species